GAGACCUGCUCCACAAAGCAGGGGGACAGCGGCGUUCCCACUUGCACAAAAAGGCUGCAGGCCAGCUCCAUCUCGGCGCCUUGGCUGGAGUAAACACUACGUUUUUUAAGAUGUAGCUGUGUGGUGCUAUGCAUGCAUCCGAUCCUGGCUUCCAGCUUCUGGGCGAUACUCGACAGUGUGCAACUGCCACAUUUUCUUUAUCUGCUCUCCCAGUGAUGAACAUCCAGGUCGCCUUUAACUCCUCGCCAGCGCAAACAGCCCUUAGACAGUUCUUGUGGACUGUGCGGGAAUUUCCCUAGGAUGUUUACCAGAGAAUUUGGACGUUAUAGACUGUGCAUAUAUUUAAUUUUACUACGUAGCUACACACUACGCUCUGGAACAUCUACAUCCUUCUACACCCCGCCAACACCCCGCAUCUCUGCCAAGUAUUUCCCAUCACUUUUAUUUUUCAACUUUAAUAGAUGCAAAGUCGUAUCUCAUUCUGUUAAUUUGGAUUUGGCGGGUUACCAAUGAUUUUGAGCGUCUCAUAAUAUGCUUGUUACUUUUCUGUUUCCUCUUCUGAAAUUACCUAUUUAUACUCUUUAUCCAUUUUUCUAUAUUGUGGUUGUUGUUUUCUUCUUGAUUUGUAGUCCACAUAGAGUAUACAUCCCUUGCCAAUUUUAGAUAUUGCAAAUAUUUUCUCCCCUUUUGGCCAUUAUCUAUUUACUUUCCUCAUGAUGUCUUUUGUUGAAGAGAAAUCCUUAAUUUUCAUGUAUUUAUAUUUAUAUUGUUCUUUCCCACUGAUGUGUAGUGUCUCUUCUCCCAUAUGUUAGAUCCCUGUAUACACAUGGGUAUGCUCUGAGCUCUCUUCUCCAUCCCACUCUCAAUUCCUGUUUACCACAUUGCUUUCAUAACUAUGGCUUUAAAAUAUGUCU